CGGUGGCUUUUUCCUCGGUGGA
rnacentral:miRNA from 1 species